UAGAAAGACAAAAGCAUAAAAAACAACAACAUAUAUCUUAAUAACAUUAAGAGCAACAGCCCGGACAACAAAUGUGCAAACGACGUUCUCGAAAGUGAUGCACAUAAGAUAACUUUGGCACUUGCUUUAGCAGGACAAUAUGAUUCUCAAGUAGCUAAAAAGUCGCCAUCGCCUGCUGAUGCUAGUAAUAUGACAGGUAACGGCAUCGAUAGCUACUACCCGUGGACGCUUAGCUUAAUACACAGUAAAGACCCUCCCAGUGUUUCGUCGAAGGGCUGGACCGCUGACCACCAGACCAACAGCCGAACCAUAUCGAGAUCCGAAUUCUCAGAAAAGGAUUCUAUGCCCCUAUUAUUAUGUGCAAAGCGCUGUUAAAGAUUAGAGUGAGCUGGAGGUGGCAGGGCCGCAGUGCCUGAACCGUCGCCGUAGCGUCUGCUAUAAAGGAGGGAACACAAACAAUCAAAUUAAUUGACGGAAAGAUGUCGCCAGCUACGUAACUCUAAAUACACGAAACAAGAAAGACUACUGACGGUAUGUAUUGAACAAACAACAUACGCUGGAUCUAUUCGUACGGUCAUUUAUGCCUAUCUACGGUGCGGGACCAGCCACGAUGCCCGUGUGUUGUAAUUAUCAGCAUAAAAGGAGAAAAAAGCCUUCAAGAUUAAUCUACCAAGUAUCUAAUGCGAAAGAUCAGCUGAUAUUUUGCCCUAUAUACUGAAAACAUGUGAUCGGCAAUUUUGUGGAUUUAAGGGAACUUAGCUUAGCAAGUGUUUUGUGUUAUGAACGGCCUGGAGCAUGUCAAAAGGGACUGUCUUCUAAAAGCUAAUUUAAUAUUUACUAGCGUUUUAUCUCAGAGAUAAAAUUGGAUUCUGCACAGGAGUGUAGCUGAAACGUUUGCAUUACUCUGUAAAUCAAUGCUGGCCGUCUCUUCAGAUCAGCGACCCCCUGCUCUAACUCCAUGUGAGCAAAUAUAUACAACAUAGGUAAAUACACUCAACCGUUUACAUAUAUAAUGCCUGGCUAUUCAGUUAUUGAAAUCUAUACUUCCGAGAUACCAGUAGGUGUUUUAAGUUAGGCAGUCUAAGAGUAUCCUAUCGCAAUGGCCUUGGUCACUGAUAAUAAAAUGUAGACCCUACAAGGCAGAAAAACGAGAGACAAAACAUUUUUCAGUAACUCUAUGGCAUCAUAGAAAUUAUAUAGAUGAUGUUUAUAUGGAAAACGCAUGGUUAGUCGUAUUCAGAUUGUCCGAUGCGCUCACAUUGUGCGCCUCAGUCCGAGCUGAAGCAUGAGGAAAGCUCGGCUAGUUUGACUUAUUUUACGUAUAUAUGACAUUUGCUGGCCGUUGAAGCAAACGUUCCUGCUGGCUUCAGGAAUCGUGUAUCUGGAAGCCGAUAGUAGCACAUUUAACCCAGCUCCAAGGAGUCAGAAUCAAGAUGUAACCUUUUUAGAUCGAACUUAGAUCAAAUUUUCCUUAUACUUACAAAUGGUAAUAAAACAACUGCAACGAGAUUGGUUAUCUAAUUAAAACGUGAACGGAUCUAAAGGAUUGUUCCUGACUUUUAGUUUGUCAAUAUGAAUUGCUCGAUGCUUGUACCCGUAGCGCAGGGUCAAACCGAAGAAAAACAUCUGCGUGCAGAGCUUCGACCAUCGAAAACAGUAGAUCUGGAUUUGAAGUUUAGUACGUGAUAUCCGUACCGAAUGGCAUGACGUCCGUCCUAAACUGAUCCUGAUAAAAAUAGCUCAAUAUCCGCGUGGUUUGUGGCCAACAGGCAGUCAUUGUGUACCAUACGGUAAGAUGGCCCUGUUUGACAUGUUUGUCCAGCAUAGGCCAAACAUAUCGACGAUUAUAUGUAUCGAUAUAUACUUAGCACGAUCCCACCGAUUGAACGAUGUAGUGAA